UAGCAACCCAUAAGUGGAGAUUCAGAAUUCUGAGCUAACUCUCUAUUUUGCAUAUUUCUUGAGGGCUACUAGGGCGGGAUCGACUGACUGAGUUUCCCUUAUUCUCUGGAUUAACUCAGACUGAACGAUUAGAUGACCCAAACAUGUGACUCUCCUCAAGUUCUGAAGCCGAACCUGUUGUGUGGCCCCAACCUACCUGCAUUCUUAAACCAUCAAAUGGGCUAAUAUACCUGCACUUUUUCUGCUGAGUGCAUCGACUACCACGUUGCCCUUACCUGGAUG
rnacentral:lncRNA from 1 species